CGGUAAUACGAAGGUGGCAAGCGUUGUUCGGAUUUACUGGGCGUACAGGGAGCGUAGGCGGUUGGGUAAGCCUUUCGUGAAAUCUCCGGGCCUAACCCGGAAAGUGCGGAGGGGACUGCUCGGCUAGAGGAUGGGAGAGGAGCGCGGAAUUCCCGGUGUAGCGGUGAAAUGCGUAGAGAUCGGGAGGAAGGCCGGUGGCGAAGGCGGCGCUCUGGAACAUAUCUGACGCUGAGGCUCGAAAGCGUGGGGAGCAAACAGGAUUAGAUACCCUGGUAGUCCACGCCUUAAACUAUGAAUACUAAGUGUCGGCGGGUUACCGCCGGUGCCGCAGCUAACGCAUUAAGUAUUCCGCCUGGGAAGUACGGCCGCAAGGUUGAAACUCAAAG
rnacentral:rRNA from 1 species